rnacentral:rRNA from 1 species
GUGCCAGCAGCCGCGGUAAUACGGAGGGUGCGAGCGUUGUCCGGAAUCACUGGGCGUAAAGGGCGCGUAGGCGGCUUCUUAAGCGUGCGGUGAAAGCUCGGGGCUCAACUCCGAGUCGGCCGUGCGAACUGGGAAGCUGGAGCACAGUAGAGGCGGGUGGAAUUCCGGGUGUAGCGGUGGAAUGCGUAGAGAUCCGGAAGAACACCGGUGGCGAAGGCGGCCCGCUGGGCUGUGGCUGACGCUGAGGCGCGACAGCGUGGGGAGCAAACAGGAUUAGAUACCCUGGUAGUCC